AAAAUGGCAUGUCGAGUUACUGCGAGUUAACUAGACCCUUCUGGGAACCGUCUUUGCGUCGAGUGGGGGGAGGGUGAGUAAUGCCUACCGUAUUGCCCUGAUGUGGGGGAUAACCAUUGGAAACGAUGGCUAAUACCGCAUGAUGCCUACGGGCCAAAGAGGGGGACCUUCGGGCCUCUCGCGUCAGGAUAUGCCUAGGUGGGAUUAGCUAGUUGGUGAGGUAAGGGCUCACCAAGGCGACGAUCCCUAGCUGGUCUGAGAGGAUGAUCAGCCACACUGGAACUGAGACACGGUCCAGACUCCUACGGGAGGCAGCAGUGGGGAAUAUUGCACAAUGGGCGCAAGCCUGAUGCAGCCAUGCCGCGUGUAUGAAGAAGGCCUUCGGGUUGUAAAGUACUUUCAGUCGUGAGGAAGGCGGUGUCGUUAAUAGCGGCCUUGUUUGACGUUAGCGACAGAAGAAGCACCGGCUAACUCCGUGCCAGCAGCCGCGGUAAUACGGAGGGUGCGAGCGUUAAUCGGAAUUACUGGGCGUAAAGCGCAUGCAGGUGGUUUGUUAAGUCAGAUGUGAAAGCCCGGGGGCUCAACCUCGGAAAUAGCAUUUGAAACUGGCAGACUAGAGUACUGUAGAGGGGGGUAGAAAUUUUCAGGUUGUAGCGGUGGAAAUGCGUAGAGAUCUGAAGGAAUACCGGUGGGCGAAGGGCGGCCCCCUGGGACAGAUACUGACCACUCAGAUGCGAAAGCGUGGGGAGCAAACAAGGAUUAGAUAACCCUGGUAGUCCACCCCCGUAAACGAUGUCUACUUGGAAGGUUGUUGCCUUGAGCCGUGGCUUUCGGAGCUUACGCCGUUAAGUAAGACCGCCUGGGGAAGUACGGUCCGCAAGAUUAAAACUUCAAAUGAAUUGACCGGGGCCCGCACAAGCGUGAGCAUGUGUUUAUUCGAUGCACGCGAG
rnacentral:rRNA from 1 species